CAUGCAGCCGAGCGGUAGAGAUUCUUCGGAAUCUUGAGAGCGGCGUACGGGUGCGGAACACGUGUGCAACCUGCCUUUAUCAGGGGGAUAGCCUUUCGAAAGGAAGAUUAAUACCCCAUAAUAUAUUGAAUGGCAUCAUUUNAUAUUGAAAACUCCGGUGGAUAGAGAUGGGCACGCGCAAGAUUAGAUAGUUGGUGAGGUAACGGCUCACCAAGUCUACGAUCUUUAGGGGGCCUGAGAGGGUGAUCCCCCACACUGGUACUGAGACACGGACCAGACUCCUACGGGAGGCAGCAGUGAGGAAUAUUGGACAAUGGGUGCGAGCCUGAUCCAGCCAUCCCGCGUGAAGGACGACGGCCCUAUGGGUUGUAAACUUCUUUUGUAUAGGGAUAAACCUAGAUACGUGUAUCUAGCUGAAGGUACUAUACGAAUAAGCACCGGCUAACUCCGUGCCAGCAGCCGCGGUAAUACGGAGGGUGCAAGCGUUAUCCGGAUUUAUUGGGUUUAAAGGGUCCGUAGGCGGAUUUGUAAGUCAGUGGUGAAAUCUCACAGCUUAACUGUGAAACUGCCAUUGAUACUGCAAGUCUUGAGUGUUGUUGAAGUAGCUGGAAUAAGUAGUGUAGCGGUGAAAUGCAUAGAUAUUACUUAGAACACCAAUUGCGAAGGCAGGUUACUAAGCAACAACUGACGCUGAUGGACGAAAGCGUGGGGAGCGAACAGGAUUAGAUACCCUGGUAGUCCACGCCGUAAACGAUGCUAACUCGUUUUUGGAGCGCAAGCUUCAGAGACUAAGCGAAAGUGAUAAGUUAGCCACCUGGGGAGUACGAACGCAAGUUUGAAACUCAAAGGAAUUGACGGGGGCCCGCACAAGCGGUGGAUUAUGUGGUUUAAUUCGAUGAUACGCGAGGAACCUUACCAAGGCUUAAAUGGGAAAUGACAGGUUUAGAAAUAGACUUUUCUUCGGACAUUUUUCAAGGUGCUGCAUGGUUGUCGUCAGCUCGUGCCGUGAGGUGUUAGGUUAAGUCCUGCAACGAGCGCAACCCCUGUCACUAGUUGCCAUCAUUAAGUUGGGGACUCUAGUGAGACUGCCUACGCAAGUAGAGAGGAAGGUGGGGAUGACGUCAAAUCAUCACGGCCCUUACGCCUUGGGCCACACACGUAAUACAAUGGCCGGUACAGAGGGCAGCUACACUGCGAAGUGAUGCAAAUCUCGAAAGCCGGUCUCAGUUCGGAUUGGAGUCUGCAACUCGACUCUAUGAAGCUGGAAUCGCUAGUAAUCGCGCAUCAGCCAUGGCGCGGUGAAUACGUUCCCGGGCCUUGUACACACCGCCCGUCAAGCCAUGGAAGUCUGGGGUACCUGAAGUCGGUGACCGUAACAGGAGCUGCCU
rnacentral:rRNA from 1 species